rnacentral:tRNA from 1 species
AAAGGGUAUACCAUAUACAAAGAACUGCUAAUUCCACGUCCUGGGGUUAAAAUCCCCAGACCCUUUA